rnacentral:rRNA from 1 species
GCCAGGCGUUGGUUGUCCUGGUGAAAGUCAGUAGGCUGGGGAAUCAGGUAAAUCCGGUACCCCAAGGCCGAGAGACGAGACGAACAGACUACGGUCUGGAAGUCAUCGAUGCCACGCUUCCAGGAAAAGCCUCUAAGCUUCAGAUACUGUGGAACCGUACCCCAAACCGACACAGGUGGUCAGGUAGAGAAUACCAAGGCGCUUGAGAGAACUCGGGUGAAGGAACUAGGCAAAAUGGUGCCGUAACUUCGGGAGAAGGCACGCCGCAUUAGGGUGAAGGGACUUGCUCCCCGAGCCUGACGCGGUCGAAGAUACCAGGUGGCUGCAACUGUUUAUUAAAAACACAGCACUCUGCCAACGCGUAAGCGGACGUAUAGGGUGUGACGCCUGCCCGGUGCCGGAAGGUUAAUUGAUGGUGUUAGCUUCGGCGAAGCUCCUGAUCGAAGCCCCGGUAAACGGCGGCCGUAACUAUAACGGUCCUAAGGUAGCGAAAUUCCUUGUCGGGUAAGUUCCGACCUGCACGAAUGGCGUAAUGAUGGCCACGCUGUCUCCACCCGAGACUCAGUGAAAUUGAAAUCGCAGUGAAGAUGCUGUGUACCCGCGGCUAGACGGAAAGACCCCGUGAACCUUUACUAUAGCUUCACACUGGACGCUGAUGUUGCUUGUGUAGGAUAGCUGGGAGGCUUGGAAACGGUGGCGCUAGCUAUCGUGGAGCCAACCUUGAAAUACCAGCCUGGCAUCAUUGGCGUUCUAACUCCGGUCCGUUAUCCGGAUCGAGGACAGUGUGUGGUGGGUAGUUUGACUGGGGCGGUCUCCUCCCAAAGAGUAACGGAGGAGCACGAAGGUACCCUCAGCACGGUUGGAAAUCGUGCAUUGAGUGCAAGAGCAUAAGGGUGCUUAACUGCGAGACAGACACGUCGAGCAGGUACGAAAGUAGGUUCUAGUGAUCCGGUGGUUCUGUAUGGAAGGGCCAUCGCUCAACGGAUAAAAGGUACUCCGGGGAUAACAGGCUGAUACCGCCCAAGAGUUCACAUCGACGGCGGUGUUUGGCACCUCGAUGUCGGCUCAUCACAUCCUGGGGCUGAAGUCGGUCCCAAGGGUAUGGCUGUUCGCCAUUUAAAGUGGUACGCGAGCUGGGUUUAGAACGUCGUGAGACAGUUCGGUCCCUAUCUGCCGUGGGCGUUGGAAGUUUGAGAAGUGCUGCUCCUAGUACGAGAGGACCGGAGUGGACGCACCUCUGGUGUUCCGGUUGUCACGCCAGUGGCAUUGCCGGGUAGCUAAGUGCGGACGGGAUAACCGCUGAAAGCAUCUAAGCGGGAAGCCCCCUUCAAGAUGAGACUUCCCUGAGGCAUAAGCCUCCUGAAGGGCCCAGCAAGACGAGCUGGUUGAUAGGCACGGUGUGGAAGCGCUGCAAGGCGUUGAGCUAACGUGUACUAAUGGCCCGUGAGGCUUGACCAUAUAACCCCAAGGGGUCUGCGCAUGACGCGCACAAUUGACGGAUACG